UACGUAGGUGGCAAGCGUUGUCCGGAUUUACUGGGCGUAAAGGGCGUGCAGGCGGUCUGUUAAGUUCAGGGUGAAAGCUCCCGGCUCAACUGGGAGAGGUCCUUGGAUACUGGCAGACUUGAGGGAGGUAGAGGAGAGUGGAAUUCCCGGUGUAGUGGUGAUAUGCGUAGAUAUCGGGAGGAACACCGGUGGCGAAGGCGGCGACCUGGGUGGAUACUGACGCUGAGGUGCGAAAGCGUGGGGAGCAAACAGG
rnacentral:rRNA from 1 species